GUGGUCUGGCCCGGCCCCAGGAGGAGGACGGAGGUGGUAAAGGGCUUCGUGUAGGAGGCAUCAACACCGACGACCGUCAUCUUGUGGUUGGCAAUCGCAACGAACAUCUCGGUGUUUAGGGCCGCGUUGAUGAACCGCAGGAGUUGGGAUGAUGGAAGUGGAGAUGAGAACCUUCGCUGGAGCAGUUGAAGAAAUCGCCGGGCUGUCCAUUGAUAGUGAGGGCAUCGGAGAUGUUCGGAGCCGCUCCGGUUCGUGUCGCCGCUCGCACGACCUUGAUCGGAUUGGCAUUCCACCACUCUCCUGCUCAUAGCCACCAUUGUCGUCAUCGCCACUCUCCGAUUUUGUAAAUAGUAGCAAUAAUUUUCUUUGUGGUUUGAUAAAAGUAACAGCAGUAACCCUUGAAUUUACAAAUCAAUCUUAAAUAUUGCUGCAGCUGUUAGCGCAACUUUUGUUUCCAGUGCUUUUACUUAUUUUGGUAUAGCUUUCCAUAGAAGUGUAAUAAUGGGAAGUAAUUUAUUAAUCUGCUCUGUGACUUUUAAAAGCUUGUAUUAAAAAAGAAAGUGUAAUUUGUGGACACUUCAACUACUUAAUUUGUAGAUAAUACAUUUUCGUAA